rnacentral:rRNA from 2 species
GGACUACACGGGUAUCUAAUCCUGUUCGCUCCCCACGCUUUCGCGCCUCAGUGUCAGUUUUCGGCCAGGUAGCUGCCUUCGCCAUUGACGUUCCUUCCGAUAUCUACGCAUUUCACCGCUACACCGGAAAUUCCGCUACCCUCUCCUCAACUCCAGUCAUAUCGUUUGCGAUGCGCUUCCUAGGUUAAGCCCAGGGCUUUCACAUCACACUCAUAUAACCACCUACGCGCCCUUUACGCCCAGUAACUCCGAUUAACGCUUGCACCCUCUGUAUUACCGCGGCUGCUGGCAC